rnacentral:piRNA from 1 species
UGACGGUUCCCUGUCUCUGAAAGACCUU